GUGCUCUUCCUAUUUGGAAAGUAGAAAUGGGACAUAUCAGAGUAGGUAUGGAGCCGGGUGACUAUUGGCAAAUUGAUUUUGUGGAAUUACCCAAGACACAGGGAUACCGAUACUUGUUAGUAGGGGUUGACACUUUUUCUGGAUGGCCAGAAGCCUCUCCCUGUCGCACCAAUCAGGCUAAGGAAACAGUGAAAUGGUUGUUGAAAGAACAUGGUGUUUGUGGAUAUCUCAAGGAUAGAGCCGAUCACUGCUGUGUGCAUAUACCAAACGUAACUGCAGAUAUAGAA